UUUGGACUAAAUUAUUUGAAGUAUAGGACGACAUUUUCAAUUACAUAUUCAAUGCCUUUCGUCUUAUUUUGGCUACUUUCGUCGAAAUUCCCCAAAAAAGACAUGCAGACGAAGUGAUUUGACACGGUCUAAUAGCACGUGUUUAUAGAGAGUCGGAAAGGUGGACUAUACAAACAGUGACGGUGACAGAAUGAUUUGUUUGGACACUUUAGCAGCAUAAUAUGUUCAAGAAGCAGAAACGGAGGAAUUAAAGAAAAGAGGAGGGAUAUGUUUACAAAAGUAAAACUCUUUGGAACAUUACAGCAACACAACUCUUCACUACUGCAGACAAAAUCAUCGUUUAUGAUCAGAUCCUUAUGAAGACCAGUUUUUAAAACGUGAAAAAGACAAAAAAGAACGAGUGGCGAAGAACAAAUAUCAAUGUCUGAGAAACAUGAGUCGUUCUCAGAUUUUUAACAAAUCAACUUCAGAUUUAACGCCUGCAGAGAAGCCGUCGCGAAGCCAGUUCGAAACGAUUGUCGGCGACCUUAAUGCAGAAAGGGAAAGAAAUUUGGAUUUGUUGGGUAAAAUCGGGCAGAAACCAAUUCUGGACGUGAAAAGCAACUAAUCAAUUGAUGAAUGCUCAACAAAAGAAGCUUUACUGUUACAACAGUCGAGGAAGAAAUGAACCACAAUCAACGAUUCACAAAAGAGAAAGCAGAAUUCAUUAAAUUCAUGAAAAACCUUAAACUGGAAUAUCCCAAGAAGAUUGCCGACAAUUUCAAAACAUAAAUGACAAAACGCGCUCCAAAAACAUCAUCUUGUAAACUAAAGAUUCGAGCUAUAUCAGCAAGAGACAAGAUUUAAAGCAAUUUUCCGACUUUAUUUCAAAGUCAUUAUCAAGCCAAGUGAUUAUUUAUAAACAUGUGUGAUCUUAAUUGCAAUUUAAGUAAUUAGGAAAGAAGCUCCUAGCGAUAAGAAGUUCAUAGCAAAGUUCAGAGCGACAUUUUAAAUUACCACACAUUGCCUUAGUAUAAAAUAUGUACGCUUUGUGUGCUUUUAUCUGCGCUCACGUGUAAUGGGUUGAUGUUCUAGAAUUAACUAUUUAGUUUUUUACAGUUAAUGUAAAUUUAUUAAGUUGAGAUGUUCUUCGAUGAACUUAUUUGAACCUCACUUUAAGUUUUAAAA